CGAAAAUAAUAAAAAAGGUUUUAGGCGGAAGCUAUGGUCGCAUCACUAUGGAAACUUAACUGUUAGCACAUAAAAAUCCGAUCACAAAAAUACAAAAAAAAAUGCGUUCAAAAGUGAUGAAACUGGUACUAGAAGACUUUGCAAUUCUAUCUCAAUGGAAAUGACCACGAAUAAAACUACAAUGUAUCAACUGUUUACAAUUCCACGAAAGCUCAGAACAAGUUAAGAAACAUGCAACACCGCAUUCUGGAUCCAAUUCCCAACACGCCCAAUACUUUUCUGUUGGGGCCUCCAGGCGAUAUCACUGUGGAUCCUACUCUUCCAUCUAUUAUCCAUUUCCGAACAAAAAGAAAGCACAAACAAAAUAAUCGACUUACUUCCUUCUGAAGUCGUGGCGAGGAGCGUAUUUCACGUAGUUUAUACUCGCCAAAUACAGAAACAGGCAAAAGAAAGCAAUUAAAACAAAUGCGAACGCGAAAAACUCUAAAUACCAGAUUACGUUGGUGUAUACUCCGUGCAUUUUCCCCUGCAGCAUAAAAGAAGCUCAACUUUUCUGAAAAACUCUCGAACUGGAUCAUCUUUAGAAGAAACCUGUAAUUUUAUAAACCUACUUAUCUAGUAAAC